UUCUGUAAAGGGCUCGAUCCGUGCGGAUGGUUGGUCGAUGGGGGAAACAACAAGAAGCUAGGCAUCAUGAGGGUCCCUGGAAUAUUGAUCUGGGCCGCUUUUCUCAUCCAGAAGGUGGUGGGAGAGUAUGGCAUGGCCCAUUUCAGUGACAAGGGCAAGAGCAAAGGAAAGGAUUACUGCAUAUUCUUCAACUCCCAGUGGGCACGUCUACCUCAGGACCUCAACAAAGCAUCCCGUCUCCAGAUCUAUGACUUGACAACAUCGGUCCUGUGCUCAGCCUCCGAUGUCCCAGAAGGCGGUUUCCCAAACCGCAUCCCCAUGGUGAUGAGGGGAAACUGCACUUUUUAUGAAAAAGUCAGACUGGCCCAGAUUAAUGGUGCCAAGGGCCUGCUCAUUGUCAGCAAGGACAGACUGACUCCUCCAGCAGGAAACAAGACUCAGUAUGAGGAGAUCGACAUUCCUGUGGCGCUGCUCAGCUACUCUGACAUGCUGGACAUCAGCAAGACCUUUGGGGAAGGAAGGCUGGUUGCCAUGUAUGCGCCCAAUGAGCCGGUGCUGGACUACAACAUGGUGAUCAUUUUUCUGAUGGCAGUGGGAACAGUUGCUGUUGGAGGUUACUGGGCUGGCAGCAGAGACCGCAAGAAACGCUACAUGAAGCACAAGCGAGACGACGGUGCAGAGAAGCAGGACGAAGAGACGGUAGACGUCACGCCCAUCAUGAUCUGUGUGUUCGUGGUUAUGUGCUGCAGCAUGCUGGUGCUACUCUACUUUUUCUACGACCGCCUGGCCAUCUGGGUCAUAGCCAUCUUCUGUGUGGCCUCCUCUGUCGGCCUCCAUAGCUGCCUGUGGCCUUUUGUCAGGAGACUCCCCUUCUGCAAGUGCAGGGUUCCAGAGAACAACCUGCCGUACCUGCACAAACGGCCGCAGAUUCGCAUGUUGCUGCUGUCGGCCCUCUGCAUUGCUGUCAGCAUCACCUGGAUGGUGUUUCGCAACGAAGACCAGUGGGCGUGGGUGUUGCAGGACGCCCUGGGAAUCGCCUUCUGUCUCUACAUGCUGAAAACAGUCCGGCUCCCCACGUUUAAGGCUUGCACCUUGUUACUGUCUGUGCUUUUUGUGUAUGAUGUGUUCUUCGUAUUUAUUACACCCUUCUUUACAAAGAGUGGUGAGAGUAUAAUGGUGGAGGUAGCGGCUGGACCCUCUGACUCCUCCACACAUGAAAAGCUUCCCAUGGUGCUCAAAGUGCCGCGGUUAAACUCCUCUCCUCUGGCUCUCUGCGAUCGUCCCUUCUCUCUCCUGGGCUUUGGUGACAUCUUAGUACCAGGUCUGCUGGUGGCGUACUGUCACAGGUUUGACAUUCUGACACAAUCCUCCAGGAUCUACUUUGUGGCCUGUACGAUCGCGUACGGCAUCGGCCUGCUGAUCACCUUCGUGGCCCUCGCCGUGAUGCAGAUGGGUCAGCCGGCCCUGCUCUACCUGGUGCCUUGCACUCUGCUCACCAGCCUCACUGUUGCACUGUGGCGCAGGGAGUUGCCCCAGUUCUGGACUGGAAGUGGAUUUGUGGUGAAUACCAGUUUGAUAUGACCGCCUACUGCCGAAGAACAAAAAGACUUUAAAAAGACAGAGAAACAUCUAGUUAAAUAUCAUGCAGAGUAACGUAGAAUUUUAAGUUGAGUAACCCCUUUAAAUAAUUCCAUCCGUUCCAACUGCCUCUUUCUGUUUUGCUGUCCCCUCCCUCCCUUCCUCCCCUCUCAUCGCUGCCUCUUGCCCUUUAUUUUACUGUGGGUGUGCUGUAGUCUGCGGCUGAGGGCUCAGCUGUCUGUGAAUGUCACUGCAGCCUGCCAUAGUUCUCGCACCAAUCAACUGUACACAAACUGCAGCGCCACAGACAGAGGGACCCUCGACUAAACCAGAGCCACAAACUCCAGAAGCCACCAAUCAGAGUGAAGACUCACCCGUGCUGCUGCCUCAGGAAACCCCCACAGCCGAGAAUGACGAAGAGGAAAACACAUCCAACCGAAAGGACAUGUAGUGCAGAGCUUAAUAUUUCAUUUCAUGUUUUAUUUGUUUAGAUUUGUUUCUACAUCAUGUCUCAGUCAACGGACGUUUUAUUUGCACUUGGUGCGAAGGGGAGAGCAGCAGAGGUCUGCGUUUUCCUGAAAUGCUGGUUCAGCACGGCACUGGGACUAGACACACAAUGUUGAGGCAUUAAACUGACAAACACACCAAAUAUGAACCUGCACGGCUGCUCCAACACCUUCGUCUACUAACAAACGGUCGGGCUUCAAAAGGGAAUUUUAAAGCCAAAUCUGGAAGCUACACAAACUAAAAAAACUCCCAUGAUGCUAAGAUGAGGUUUCACACAGCCUUGAAGCCAUACUAAUGUCUAAACAAAAUAUUAAUUCAUUACAGUAGAUUAUGUCAAUAAGUGGAAAGUAGAGUCCUCUAAUAUUUUAACUAAGAGCCAUCACAACAUGUCAGUGGUGUGGCUCCUGUAGUUGUAAUCUGCAACAGAGCUGCAGUGAUCCACAGAACUAACAAUCAUUUGAUUACUGAAUAACCAGUUGAGUCAUUCUUUAAAUCAGAAGACACCAAAGAUUAGCCCAGAGUAGUUUCCCCAAACGUGAGGAUUUGAAGAUUUUUGGUAUCAUUCAGGAAAGUAAAUUGAAUAUAUGUUGGAAUUUUUAUCCCACAAAUCGACACAUGAAGACAUCAGCUCGGGCAUUUCUAUUUUCUUCUGGCAUUUUGGAGCCAGAUGUCAUUAAUUUAGAAUCUGAAGUUGAAUGAAAAGCAGAUUAAUCAAUAAUGGAGCUAAUCGUUAGUUUUGGUGCUACAAACACUAGAUCUAAAUCAACUCAAUGACCCUGCUAACUUGUGUAUUUUCUGUAAUAAUAAAUGAGAAGGAGUUCAAUUUUGAGAGCAAAACACAACAUAGAGAUCAGUGGUUGGAAGCCAGCGCUGAUGUGUUGGAGGUCAACUAGAGCAGUUUAUAAAAUAGCUCUACAGGUCAACUCAAUGUGAACCAGCCUUUAGGUGCAACUAUACCGCUGUUACUCUCUCGUGUGGCUGGACUGAAAAGCUCAGAGUAUGCUUGAAAUAAACCUGUUUGAAAGUGACUGACCAUGUCUGAAGGCAAAAGCUGAUUACACUGAAGACUCUGGAAAGCAGAGUCUGAAGCCCGCUGUCCUGAUGCAGUGAAUCAGAUGAAUGAAGAUGUAAAGGCAGCUUUGAGAUGCCGUUUGUUUGAUGGUCCAGCUUCAUGUAAAUCAUACAAAUACACUCACCAUACAAACCAUUUCAGCUCUCCUUGUUUCCAGACGAUGACGGACAAAGAGUUUCAUACCCUUUAAAAUGAGGUGCUUCUAUGGUUGUUGACUGAGCCAAAGCUUGUGGAUUUUUUAACGUUUUUGCAUCUGUUUUGAUGUCAGUUCUUUUGCAUGCUAUGAUUUACAUUUUUACCCUUUAUAUAAAGCCAGUGUAUAACCCUAUAAUGCAGAGUGUUUACAUUGUAGGUUGUGCAGCAGUUAAAACGAUGCCCCCUGAAGAUUUUGAACUCCCAGUAGUUACUCGUAUUGUCUUAAAAAUUUGUUUUUGCCUUAAAUCGUUGAAUCAGGGGGGUGAGGCAGGAUGUGUGAACGUUACGAGCACUGUGUCCUGAAUGCUGACGUGCUGCAAUUAAACGUGAGCUGAAGAACGAGUGACGGGUGGUGUAACAGAUGCCUCUAGGUUAGUUGAUAUGAUGCAUUUGCACAAUAUUUUGGAGCUGGCAGAACGUGUCGGUUCAUCUCUAUGUAUGUCUGUAAAUAUGUUUUCUUUUGAAGGGUUUCAAAAAAGAAAACAAGGCAGAAAUAUAAACAUUAUUCAUCCUGCUUUGUCUUUAACGAAGCCUCUGAACCAAGAUCAACAUUUCUGUCUCCAAGUGAGGGGUCAAAUGAGAACAACCCUCGCUGAUUCAGUUAGUGUUUUCAGGAGAUUACUCAUUCACCAGUAUAGUUUGUUGUCACCAAGUGGUUUUUAAUACCUCUGUGGAGGAAUAUAUGGAAUAAAUAAACAUUGUAUCUGAUA